rnacentral:lncRNA from 1 species
UGUAAUCUGACAUUUAAAAAACCAUAAACAGUAUAUUAAAACCUGUCUAAACUAGUAAAUGCCCUUAGUAUAUUAGCAACAUACAAAAUUAACAUUCAAGUAUAAGUUAUGGUUCCAUACACUUAAACUAUCUGAUAGAAGAGAGGAAGAAAACAAUCUUAUUUACAAUAGCAUUAGAAUAAUAAAUUUCUGAACACAAAUUUAACCAAGGAGGUAAAAAGUAUUUACAAUGCUGGUCUUGAACUCCUGACAGGUGAUCUGCCUGCCUCGGCCUCUCAAAGUGCUAGGAUUACAGGCAUGAUCCACCUUGCCCAGAAAUUUAUUUUGGAGAAAAUCCCCGCAAGGGGGAAAAAAUUUGGGAAAAAUUUUUCUUUCCCCCAAAAAAUAUUACCCCAAAAAAAACCUGGGAGAAUUUAUUUUUUACCUAUUUUUUUUGGAAAUUGGGCCAUUUGGUUAUAAAAAAAUAUUUUAAAUUUACAAAAUUUGAAUUUUUAAAAAANNNNNNNNNNGAUCACGCCACUGCACUCCAGCCUGGAUGACAAAACAAGACUCUGUCUAAAAAAUAUAUAAAUAAAUAAAUAAAAAGAAAAUUCAUAGUAGAGAGAAACCUUACAAAUGUGUAGAAUGUGGCAAAACUCAUUUUAACCAAUGCUCACAUCUUAUUGCAUAGAAAAGCAUUUAUACCUGAAAAAAGGUAUACAAAUUUAAAAAAUGUGGAAAAGCCAUUAAAAUCUGUUCACAUCUUAACAACAGAGAGUUGAUACUUAAUAAGAGCAUU